rnacentral:rRNA from 1 species
UACGAAGGGGGCUAGCGUUGCUCGGAAUCACUGGGCGUAAAGCGCACGUAGGCGGCUUGUUAAGUCAGGGGUGAAAUCCUGGAGCUCAACUCCAGAACUGCCUUUGAUACUGGCGAGCUUGAGUUCGGGAGAGGUGAGUGGAAUUCCCAGUGUAGAGGUGAAAUUCGUAGAUAUUGGGAAGAACACCAGUGGCGAAGGCGGCUCACUGGCUCGUAACUGACGCUCAGGCGCGACAGCGUGGGGAUCAAACAGG